rnacentral:rRNA from 1 species
AUACGUAGGGGGCGAGCGUUGUCCGGAAUGAUUGGGCGUAAAGGGCGCGUAGGCGGCCCGGUAAGUCUGGAGUGAAAGUCCUGUUUUUAAGAUGGGAAUUGCUUUGGAUACUGUCGGGCUUGAGUGCAGGAGAGGUAAGUGGAAUUCCCAGUGUAGCGGUGAAAUGCGUAGAGAUUGGGAGGAACACCAGUGGCGAAGGCGACUUACUGGACUGUAACUGCCGCUGAGGCGCGAAAGUGUGGGGAGCAAACAGGAUUAGAUACCCUGGUAGUCCACACUGUAAACGAUGAAUGCUAGGUGUAGGGGGUAUCGACCCCUUCUGUGCCGCAGUCAACACAAUAAGCAUUCCGCCUGGGGAGUACGGCCGCAAGGUUGAAACUCAAAGGAAUUGACGGGG